rnacentral:rRNA from 1 species
ACGUAGGGGGCAAGCGUUGUCCGGAUUUAUUGGGCGUAAAGAGCGCGCAGGCGGUCGUUCAAGUCGCGUGUGAAAGCCCCCGGCUCAACUGGGGAGGGUCACGCGAUACUGAUCGACUCGAAGGCAGGAGAGGGAAGUGGAAUUCCCGGUGUAGUGGUGAAAUGCGUAGAUAUCGGGAGGAACACCAGUGGCGAAGGCGACUUCCUGGCCUGUUCUUGACGCUGAGGCGCGAAAGCUAGGGGAGCAAACGGG